GAAUUGGAGAAUCAAAGAAAUGUCAUAAGAAUUGCUACAACAUUCCAAAGUUUUGGUUAUAACUUAUCAUGCCAAGAACUACAUUUUGCAAAUCAAAAGGAACUUACGCCAUUGAUCUACAGAACAUUAAAUGCCAUUUGCGUGUACGCAAACGUGUCAAGAGAUGACGCCGACAAAUUCCCUGGAAAUGGACG